GAUGAACGCUGGCGGCGUGCCUAAUACAUGCAAGUCGAGCGAACGGAUGAGUAACGCGUAGGUAACGACAUAUUAGAGGGGGAUAACUAUUGGAAACGAUAGCUAAUACCGCAUACUAGUAGAUGGACCUGCGUUGUAUUAGCUAGUAGGUAGGGUAAUGGCCUACCUAGGCAACGAGACAUAGCCGACCUGAGAGGGUGGUCGGCCAAACUGGGAUUGAGACACGGCCCCGACUCCUACUGGAGGCAGCAGUAGGGAAUCUGCGGCAAUUGGGGGAACCCUGACCGAGCAACGCCGCGUGAGUGAAGAAGGUUUUCGGAUCGUAAAGCUCUGUUGUUAAGGAAGCGGUACUUAACCAGAAAGGGACGGCUAACUCCGUGCCAGCAGCCGCGGUAAUAC
rnacentral:rRNA from 1 species